rnacentral:rRNA from 1 species
GAUGAACGCUGGCGGCGUGCCUAAUACAUGCAAGUCGAGCGAACGGACGAGAAGCUUGCUUCUCUGAUGUUAGCGGCGGACGGGUGAGUAACACGUGGAUAACCUGCCUAUAAGACUUGGAUAACUUCGGGAAACCGGAGCUAAUACCGGAUAAUAUUUUGAACCGCAUGGUUCAAAAGUGAAAGACGGUCUUGCUGUCACUUAUAGAUGGAUCCGCGCUGCAUUAGCUAGUUGGUAAGGUAACGGCUUACCAAGGCAACGAUGCAUAGCCGACCUGAGAGGGUGAUCGGCCACACUGGAACUGAGACACGGUCCAGACUCCUACGGGAGGCAGCAGUAGGGAAUCUUCCGCAAUGGGCGAAAGCCUGACGGAGCAACGCCGCGUGAGUGAUGAAGGUCUUCGGAUCGUAAAACUCUGUUAUUAGGGAAGAACAUAUGUGUAAGUAACUGUGCACAUCUUGACGGUACCUAAUCAGAAAGCCACGGCUAACUACGUG